GAUGAACGCUGGCGGCGUGCUUAACACAUGCAAGUCGAACGGAAAGGCUCCUGCGUUCUGGGGUGCUCGAGUGGCGAACGGGUGAGUAACACGGGGGGGAGCUUCCCUGCACUUCGGGAUAAGUCUGGGAAACUGGGUCUAAUACCGGAUAGGACGAUGUAUUGGAUGCCAUUGUGGAAAGGUUUGCGGUGUGGGGUAAGCUCGCGGCCUAUCAGCUUGUUGGUGGGGUAAUGGCGUACCACGGCGUGGCCGGGUAGCCGGCCUGAGAGGGUGUACGGCCACAUUGGGAUUGAGCUGCGGCCCAGACUCCUACGGGAGGCAGCAGUGGGGAAUAUUGCACAAUGGGCGCAAGCCUGAUGCAGCGACGCCGCGUGGGGGAUGACGGCCUUCGGGUUGUAAACUCCUUUCGUCAGGGACGAAGCGAAAGUGACGGUACCUGGCUAAGAAGCACCGGCUAACUACGUG
rnacentral:rRNA from 1 species